rnacentral:rRNA from 1 species
AUGGCCACCGAGCCGCAGGCGGAAGCAGGCCAUGGCGGUGGCCAGAUCCGCCCACCGGACCAGCCUCGUGAGGAGACGGACGGCAUGGAGCUGGUCGUCAAGGUCCGACCUUGGCAGGCACCAAGGUGCACGUACGCCAUGGAGCUGCUUCUCCAUCCAGCUCCGACACACACGCCGCAACCGCGAGGUACCUUGCGCAUACAUCUGAAGCCCCCUCCGUCGGAUCAACUCUGGUAUGGAUUCACAUCUAUGCCUGAACUGGAGUGGGACUUGGAAUCUUCCGUCGGAGACAGGAAAAUUACCAACAGUCGCAUCGCGUCAUUUAUAGGUAACAGAAUCAAGGUUUCGCUCCGUGAUAGCUUGGUGCUUCCAAACUGUGAAUGCAUUUCCAUUCCAGGGAUGCUGGCAGAGAAGGACGACUGGGUGCCCCGCAAGGAGGGACCUUAUAUCUGGCUCAACCACGAACCCACCGAGGCCAAAAGCCAUGUCGCAGCCGCCACACCAACCCAUCCUGAGGAAGCUGGUCCCAAGGACGAUGCCAUCAGCAAAAGCAGAGCACCAAGUCUGCCUGCUUCCUCAGCCGGGAGUGAGGAAUCACUGAAAUCCAUUGACGAGUCAACCGAAGACCCUCUUUCCGCAGAAGCAUCCCACACAGAGUCUCGCCUGGUUGAAACCGCCUCUCCUUCACACCCCGACGCUGCCGACGAACCGAGGAAACCGCUGCUGGUCACGGAGAAGCUCCAGGCAGACUCAUCGGAGAGCAGGGCGGGAUCCCCACCGUACACCUCCCUGAGGGCCAUCAUACCCGCGGGGGAACAGCAGCAGCAGCAGCAGGCGGUGGCGGCAGCAGCGGGCUCUGUUGGAGAUGAUGCGAAGCGGAAGAGCGGGAGGCGGAGCCGGAUGAUGGACCUGGGGAAGAAGAUGGGGGACAAGCUGGAGGAGAAGCGGCGGCAGGUGGAGGAGAAGGGCCGGCACAUCGUCGAGAAGAUGCGGGAGAACGCGAGGACCAACAGCAUGGAGAGAACCACCUCCGCGUAG